GCUGUCGUCAGCUCGUGUCGUGAGAUGUUGGGUUAAGUCCCGCAACGAGCGCAACCCUUGUUCACUGUUGCCAGCACGUUAUGGUGGGGACUCAGUGGAGACCGCCGGGGUCAACUCGGAGGAAGGUGGGGAUGACGUCAAGUCAUCAUGCCCCUUAUGUCCAGGGCUUCACGCAUGCUACAAUGGCUGGUACAGAGAGUGGCGAGCCUGUGAGGGUGAGCGAAUCUCGGAAAGCCGGUCUCAGUUCGGAUUGGGGUCUGCAACUCGACCUCAUGAAGUCGGAGUCGCUAGUAAUCGCAGAUCAGCAACGCUGCGGUGAAUACGUUCCCGGGGCUU
rnacentral:rRNA from 1 species